UCAGAAAGCCAAUCUCAGUUCGGAUUGUAGGCUGCAACUCGCCUACAUGAAGUUGGAAUCGCUAGUAAUCGCGAAUCAGAAUGUCGCGGUGAAUACGUUCCCGGGUCUUGUACACACCGCCCGUCACACCACGAGAGUUUACAACACCCGAAGUCAGUGGCCUAACCGCAAGGAGGGAGCUGCCUAAGGUGGGGUAGAUGAUUGGGGUGAAGUCGUAACAAGGUAUC
rnacentral:rRNA from 1 species